rnacentral:rRNA from 1 species
UACGGAGGGUGCGAGCGUUGUCCGGAAUCACUGGGCGUAAAGGGCGCGUAGGCGGCCCGCGCAAGCGUGCGGUGAAAGCCCGGGGCUCAACCCCGGGUCGGCCGUGCGGACUGCGGGGCUCGAGCACUGUAGGGGCAGAUGGAAUUCCGGGUGUAGCGGUGGAAUGCGUAGAGAUCCGGAAGAACACCGGUGGCGAAGGCGGUCUGCUGGGCAGUAGCUGACGCUGAGGCGCGACAGCGUGGGGAGCAAGCAGG